UGUUAAACGGAAGAUGCAGACUGAUG
rnacentral:piRNA from 1 species